rnacentral:rRNA from 1 species
AGAGUUUGAUCAUGGCUCAGAUUGAACGCUGGCGGCAGGCCUAACACAUGCAAGUCGAACGGUAACAGGAAGAAGCUUGCUUCUUUGCUGACGAGUGGCGGACGGGUGAGUAAUGUCUGGGAAACUGCCUGAUGGAGGGGGAUAACUACUGGAAACGGUAGCUAAUACCGCAUAACGUCGCAAGACCAAAGAGGGGGACCUUCGGGCCUCUUGCCAUCGGAUGUGCCCAGAUGGGAUUAGCUAGUAGGUGGGGUAACGGCUCACCUAGGCGACGAUCCCUAGCUGGUCUGAGAGGAUGACCAGCCACACUGGAACUGAGACACGGUCCAGACUCCUACGGGAGGCAGCAGUGGGGAAUAUUGCACAAUGGGCGCAAGCCUGAUGCAGCCAUGCCGCGUGUAUGAAGAAGGCCUUCGGGUUGUAAAGUACUUUCAGCGGGGAGGAAGGGAGUAAAGUUAAUACCUUUGCUCAUUGACGUUACCCGCAGAAGAAGCACCGGCUAACUCCGUGCCAGCAGCCGCGGUAAUACGGAGGGUGCAAGCGUUAAUCGGAAUUACUGGGCGUAAAGCGCACGCAGGCGGUUUGUUAAGUCAGAUGUGAAAUCCCCGGGCUCAACCUGGGAACUGCAUCUGAUACUGGCAAGCUUGAGUCUCGUAGAGGGGGGUAGAAUUCCAGGUGUAGCGGUGAAAUGCGUAGAGAUCUGGAGGAAUACCGGUGGCGAAGGCGGCCCCCUGGACGAAGACUGACGCUCAGGUGCGAAAGCGUGGGGAGCAAACAGGGUUAGAUACCCUGGUAGUCCACGCCGUAAACGAUGUCGACUUGGAGGUUGUGCCCUUGAGGCGUGGCUUCCGGAGCUAACGCGUUAAGUCGACCGCCUGGGGAGUACGGCCGCAAGGUUAAAACUCAAAUGAAUUGACGGGGGCCCGCACAAGCGGUGGAGCAUGUGGUUUAAUUCGAUGCAACGCGAAGAACCUUACCUGGUCUUGACAUCCACGGAAGUUUUCAGAGAUGAGAAUGUGCCUUCGGGAACCGUGAGACAGGUGCUGCAUGGCUGUCGUCAGCUCGUGUUGUGAAAUGUUGGGUUAAGUCCCGCAACGAGCGCAACCCUUAUCCUUUGUUGCCAGCGGUCCGGCCGGGAACUCAAAGGAGACUGCCAGUGAUAAACUGGAGGAAGGUGGGGAUGACGUCAAGUCAUCAUGGCCCUUACGACCCGGGCUACACACGUGCUACAAUGGCGCAUACAAAGAGAAGCGACCUCGCGAGAGCAAGCGGACCUCAUAAAGUGCGUCGUAGUCCGGAUUGGAGUCUGCAACUCGACUCCAUGAAGUCGGAAUCGCUAGUAAUCGUGGAUCAGAAUGCCACGGUGAAUACGUUCCCGGGCCUUGUACACACCGCCCGUCACACCAUGGGAGUGGGUUGCAAAAGAAGUAGGUAGCUUAACCUUCGGGAGGGCGCUUACCACUUUGUGAUUCAUGACUGGGGUGAAGUCGAAACAAGGUAACCGUAGGGGAACCUGCGGUUG